UUCAAUAGAACGGGGUGUAUGUGUUAUAUCAACGAUAUAUUGUUGAUGAUCAGACUAUAUGAAUUCCAAUUCUUUCAGCAAAGGUGAUAUCCAAACAACAAAAUUUCUUCAAAGACAUCUAAUAAAGAGAUUACCAAGCACCCAUGUUAUUGUUUAAGCAAUAUUAGUAUGUUUUCAUAAACAGCAUUUUAUUUGGGUUGAAAUCAAAUCAACACCUAUAUGCAUUUCAUAAACAGCAUUUUAUGAGGGAUGAAUGAGGAUGUAGGGAGAGGGACAAAACGGAGGAGGUGGAGGUGGGCUGAGUUUCUUCUGUUGAGAAGAGUCGAAGUCUCUUGAAAACCGAAGCAGAUACCGCUUGAGAUGAAAAAGGACUGAGGGUGAAGAAGAGGAAGGAGAGGAUGAUGAAGAUGUUAACGGAAGGAAAUGGGCUUGGAGCUGUUCGAGCCAUGUAAAUGUUUGUGGUUUUUGCCGCAGCAGACAACAAACAAAGAAGAGAAGUGCUGAGAAGUUUGGGAGAUGAGCAUGGGUUUAUUAUAUACACGUACGUCGAUCUGCAAGCAGGGCAUCAGUAGCGUGUUACUAUUAUUUAUUAAAGGUCCAUAUCAAAAAAAAAAAAAAUUUUUUGAUAACAAAGGUCCAUAUCAAUUUAAUUUCCAUAGAAAAGUAAAAGUUUGGUACCUUAACAUACAAGAAGGAGAGUACAUACACAAUUAAUCACCAGUCCUUCAAAUCAAAGAUAUGUACAAUGUGUAAGUGAGAAUGUACAACUGAUAUUCCUAGUCUACGAGCAGGGGCGGAGCCAGAAAAAAUUCUUAGUGGGGCAAAGCAACACUAAAAUUUUUUACCUACUAUUUUUCUAGUUUUUUAAACAAAAAAAAAAUUCACCAACAAGUACAAAUGAUGCAUAUAUUCCAUGAAAAACAUAAAAAGACAAAUUCAAAAUUAUUAAUGUAAUAAUAAUUUUAUUUCAAAAAUAAAUUAAACUAUUUACAAUUGCUCACUGCGAGUUUUUAUAUUUUGAUAACUAAUUUGGUUGUGGAAGUAAGAAUGGCUCUCGGUUGUGGAGGGAAAAUGGGGGACUAGUGGAGGGAAGGGAAAUUGGAAAGUGGGGACAAAGGAAGUGAAUGAUAUGAUUGGAUGAAUUGAUCAAGAGAAAGAGUAACUAGCUGCUUGGUUGUGGAAGGUAGUGGCUCUCGGUUGUGGGGGGAAAAUGGGGGACCAGAUGAGGGAAGGGAAAUUGAGGGAUAGGGUCCAAAGAAAGUGAAUGAUAUGAUUGGUACUUGCUAGUUAAAAUGAAAAUGAUUUUUUUUAGCUUAUUUCAAAUGAAAUUUGUGCCCCAGGUAUCAUUUUAGAAUUUUAGUUUAUGAACUAAUUUAAAAAAAUCACGUAAUUCUUUCAUAUUCUUCUAAAAAAAAAACUGUAGGGGUACAUUUAAAAUUAUAUUAAAAUUGUACAAGUAUUAUAGGAAUUUAAGAGAGACAGUGGGGUCCCGUUGCCCCCAGUGCCCCCAUCAAAUUGGAAUUUACGGUGGAAACAAGGUAGAUGCGCCGACGGCAGCUGGUGUUUCAUUUUCAUGAUGCAGACUGGGGAAAUUUUGGAGCAUUAUGCAUCCAUGCCAUUAGAUAUAUAGUGGGCUUGAUGUUAUACAAUGCAAAUUUUCUUUAAAAAAAAACUUUAAAUCAAAAUAAAUCUUGACCUAUCAAUUAUUGAUUUAAGCUAUCAAAACAUUGGCAUGUAACAUGCAAAUAAUCGUUGCUCAUAGGGCAUCAUUCCUUUCCGUCUCACACGCAGAUUAGUCCAUUGGUGGUUCUUUCUUUCCUUUUUUUUUUUUUUUUUUGAAUAUUUGGUACAUAGAGGUUCCAACUUUUACAAGGAGAAGGAAAAAUAGGAGAGUUUAAGGGUCAAGACCUUACGGUCAGUCACCUAAAAGCAUCCGUGCCAAUUGAGUUGAGUUUUGGGAACAAAAUUUUGGCCUUUCCAUUAUAGCAGGAUACAACUAAAUGCCCGGAUUAAUUAACUCAAUUUCCAUAAAUUUAAAAAAAAAGAGUAAGAAAUUGGUACCUCUGAUCAAUUCCAAGGGUAGAUAUAUAAUAUAAUUAUUAGUCCUUCAAAUGGAGACGAGUGUCAGUAGACUUAAAAGGAGUCCAUGAUAUUGAUAGUUGGUCUUUUGGUCACAAUAAUUAUUUCGAGAUGUUUGAUUCUUCGUAAUGUGGAAUAACUUUCCUCCAGACAUUCUAAAGAAACAUGAUGGAACAAGUUGCUGUUUGUGAGGUCGUAUUAAUCCUGGUGGGAACCUCUCUUGCGCAAGGAUUUUUGGGUAAUGAAUUGAUCUUUCCACAAAAACAAGUAUUUUUAUGUUUUCCUUCAUUUGUGUUCAAUUCAAUUCUCUAUAAUAUAUAUUAAUAGUACUAUUUAUCUAGAGGGGGCACCUUCAUGAAUGGACUAUCUCUAGAGGUUCUCCUUCACAUUUGACGCGCAGAUUACGCCAUUAGGCAAUUCGGGCGACUGAGCGGUCAACACAAGGCGACAUCAAAACAGUUGCGCAUUUGGCCCACCAGUACUAUGCAACCAAUCAAACUACUCCGGUCUUGAUUUAUUUUCUUCAGUUUCCAUUUCAUCUACUUCUCCACUGAACCUCUAGAGAAAGCUCAGUCGUUAACUUUGCUUGUCUGUUCAAACGUCUAACAUCAAAAUUAGAAUUUAAAUCAAAACCUUAAAGUGGGAACAAAGUGCCAUCUUUUAAAAACAAAAAAAAAACUAAUACAUCGAAACGUAAAAUUGAUAUAAUAGAUGGGAGAAAUUUCUUCGAAACUCCAAAAUGUGAUUCUCGAGUAGAUUAAUGCAAGUCUUAUAAAUUGAUUACAUUUUCAAUCAAUUCAAUUUCAGGGUAAACAUGCAACAUGCCCAAGUAUAGCUCUGCCCUGGUUUUCACGGUACAACCACUUUUUCGUUCUCAAAGAAGUCAUUAGCAUACUAAAGAAAGAAAAGGACCUAAAAGGAAAAAGAAAAGGAUCUAAUUAUACUAAGAAUCACAAAAGUUAGUUUGGUUGAGAAAAGGAAGUAGUACUUUAGAACAAACAAAGGUAGACGAUGAGAUCCUCAAAAUAUCAUAACUAUGAAAACAUUUAGUAUAUAUUUAUAUAUAUGAAGAACAACAUUUAUUUGGGUUGAAAUCAACUAUAUAUACAUAUAAAUAUAUAUAUAUAUAUAUAUAUAUAUUCUAGUAGUAGCACUAGAGGGAGGGAGUGCUCUAACAUUUAUUGGCAAGGUCGUAAGUGACCCGCAUCCCUUGCUGCUGUAUAUUCCCAAGAAGAAAUCCAAAAUCCUAAUUUUUUUUUCCUUUUGUUUUUAGAAAAGGAAAAAUGAAAGCCAAAAAGCAAUAAAAUGGAUAACUUCUUUUCAUAUGAAUAUAUGGUGUUAAGUACUUUAUUUACUCAUAAAACCCAUAUUUUGGUUUAAAAAGAAAAGCAAUACCUAAUGAAAUUGUAAAAUGAGAACGGUAACAAAGAUUAUAGUCUAAAGUACUCGUUUGAUAGGCUAGUGUAAUUUGCCGUUUCACUUGUACGCUUCAAAUGCACAUUAUCAAUCAGGUAUCAGGACGCUUGGCUAUGCAACUUGAACAAUCAUCACAUGUAGAACUGACUUUAUUCUAGUAUCCUAUAGGAAAAUAUGUACUCAAUUAGCCUGAAGUGAAUUAAAUCAUGAUUGUCAGCAUUUUAAACUUUUGAUUGCGAAGGCCUUAAUUGCUUGACAACGCCCAUGAUUACUAUGGCUAAACUACUCAGGUUGCCUCUUUUUAUACUUCCAAAAAAAAAAAAUUUAUCUCAAUUCAAUCUUUAACACUAAGAAGUGACUUGAUUUAAUCCCUUGGAAAUAACUCAUGUCAUUUUUAUGUUGAAUGAGUAGCCAAAAGAUUGAAUCGUGUAUUUCCAAUAGAACGGGGUGUAUGUGUUAUAUCAACGAUAUAUUGUUGAUGAUCAGACUAUAUGAAUUCCAAUUCUUUCAGCAAAGGUGAUAUCCAAACAACAAAAUUUCUUCAAAGACAUAUAAUAAAGAGAUUACCAAGUACCCAUGUUAUUGUUUAAGCAAUAAACAGCAUUUUAUUUGGGUUGAAAUCAAUUCAACACCUAUAUGCUUUUUA
rnacentral:lncRNA from 1 species